rnacentral:rRNA from 1 species
UACGUAGGGGGCAAGCGUUGUCCGGAAUCAUUGGGCGUAAAGCGCGUGUAGGCGGCUCGGUAAGUCUGCUGUGAAAGUCCAGGGCUCAACCCUGGGAUGCCGGUGGAUACUGUCGAGCUCGAGUCCGGAAGAGGCGAGUGGAAUUCCUGGUGUAGCGGUGAAAUGCGCAGAUAUCAGGAGGAACACCAAUGGCGAAGGCAGCUCGCUGGGCCGUAACUGACGCUGAGGGACGAAAGCGUGGGGGAGCAAACAGG